GCCCUUGUAGCUCAGGUGGGAGAGCCUGCGGGUUAAUAGGCCCGCUAGUGUCGCCGGUUCGAGCCCGGAUGAGGGCA
rnacentral:tRNA from 1 species